GACGAACGCUGGCGGCGUGCUUAACACAUGCAAGUCGAGCGGAAAGGCCCUUCGGGGUACUCGAGCGGCGAACGGGUGAGUAACACGUGAGUAAUCUGCCCUUGGCUUUGGGAUAACUACCGGAAACGGUGGCUAAUACCGGAUACGACAACCGUCUGCAUGGGCUGGUUGUGGAAAGUUUUAUCGGCCAGGGAUGUGCUCGCGGCCUAUCAGCUUGUUGGUGGGGUAAUGGCCUACCAAGGCUUCGACGGGUAGCCGGCCUGAGAGGGUGACCGGCCACACUGGGACUGAGACACGGCCCAGAGUCCUACGGGGGGCAGCAGUGGGGAAGAUUGGACAAUGGGCGGAAGCCUGAUCCAGCAACGCCGCGGGAGGGAUGACGGCCUUCGGGUUGUAAACCUCUUGCAGUACCGACGAAGCGCCGAUGAUGGUGGUGACGGUAGGUACAGAAGAAGCACCGGCCAACUACGUG
rnacentral:rRNA from 1 species